GCCUUUGUGGUGUAAUGGUCAAACACACUCGGUGCAUAUUCGAGAGGUCCGUGGUUCGAUUCCCGGUGCAGGCG
rnacentral:tRNA from 1 species